UACGGAGGAUGCAAGCGUUAUCCGGAAUGAUUGGGCGUAAAGGGUCCGCAGGUGGCAGUGUAAGUCUGCUGUCAAAGAAUGAGGCUUAACCUCAUCAAGGCAGUGGAAACUACACAGCUAGAGUACGGUCGGGGUAGAAGGAAUUCCUGGUGUAGCGGUGAAAUGCGUAGAGAUCAGGAAGAACACCGGUGGCGAAGGCGGCAUCCUGGACCAAUAUUGACGCUGAGGAGCGAAAGCCAGGGGAACAAACGGG
rnacentral:rRNA from 1 species